AUGGCUUCCCUAAUGGCACGGCUUGCAGAUGGCAGAAAACUCAGAUGGCUCAUUAGACGCGAAGCCCAGCGCCGAGCCGCGGGUCUCAGCCCGGCGGCCAGAGCUGAGCUCUUCCGUUCAUCCUCUCCUUUCGCUGGUUCCGUCAAGCCAGCCGCCCUCCAGGCUCUCGUUCCGGACGCGGCCGACCGGAGAUGCGCAGCCACCCGCCCGGCUCCCCGCCGCUCCUCCAUCGGCCGGCAGCGCCGACCCCCGUCCCCAAAGACCGCGCGGACUGGAAGCGCGGCGCCGCCGUCCGGCGUCAUUUCGANNNNNNNNNNNNNNNNNNNNNNNNNNNNNNNNNNNNNNNNNNNNNNNNNNNNNNNNNNNNNNNNNNNNNNNNNNNNNNNNNNNNNNNNNNNNNNNNNNNNCGCGGCCGCGCGGUACUCGCGGAGCCUGAGGCAACGCACCUGGGGAGAAGGGAAGGGGCUGGAGCACCAGGAAGUUAUUGUCACAAAGACAAAACUCAGCAGUGCUAUAACUAAAGGAAAAUCCCAGAGAGAGAACCAGCUGCCUGCAGCACACUCUCAGCAUGCUGAUGGCCUCCUACAGAACAAGAGCCUGCAGGGCUUGUGUGAAAGGCCAUACAGCAGACAGACCGACCCUGAGCCAUUAUUUCUGCAUCUUGGGAACCCCGUGUGGCAAAAAAUUCUGAUGCUGGAGAAAAAUCAAAGGCAAUGUAAAAUAUAAUGCUUUAUUAGAAACCUGCAUUCUAUUUAUCUUGUUGAUAACAGAGAAAACACCUUAUUCAAUAGUUAAUACGGUUAACUGCAUUAUUUUAUUCAUGCCUGACCUUUAAAAGUUAGACAAAAAGAAAAUUAAGCCUGAUGCCAUAAGAAAACACCUUGAUUGCAGAACAUCAGUUUAAACAGCAAUCACAUUUACUAUCCUCCAAAUACAAAAUGUAGAAAUCCAAAGUGCUCUGUUGUUAUGAAACAAACUAAGCUUCAACAUCCCUCUGAAGUAGGGGAGAGUCUUACCCCAUUUUAUUACAGAUGAGUAAAAAUUCACAUGCAGAAAAAUUGACUUGCAGUCUGUGUCACCACAUUAGUGGCAAAGCUGGAAACAGAGGUCAUGUUCCCUCAUCUCUUAACAGGAUUUCAGUCGUCCUAACAAUGCACAAUGUGAAAUCUGUCCACAAAGGUUUAACAGCAAGGAUUGUCACAGGUUAUAAUCUAAAUUAUACUUCACCAGCAUUUCUAAAAAUGAAUUAUGUCUGAAAAUUUAAAAUACAGAAAAGAAAAGCAUUGCCUGCUUCAGGCUGAAGGCAGUGAAAUACCAUACUAUCAGUCUUUUCAAUGCCCUCCAAGCUUGGGUCAGGUCUUUUUGUUUGUUUGUUUUUAAUUUUUAACCAAAAAUUGUAAGAGAUGUGAAGUCACUGGAAUGUUACAGUAGGAUAGAUGUUUCCUGUUCCAAAAACUAAAUGUCAAAGUGAAGGUUAAGCAUUUAAUUUUGCCUUGGCAUUUAUCAAGCAGUUGGAGGCUGCUGCCCUGCAGAGCUCUCUAUUUUGGCAUUACUGCCUAAUUAACACCAAUAUUGAAGAACUGUUUAGCAUAAGACAUUCACUCAAGGCACCGAGGCUCCUUCUCUGCAGAAAAGCUGAGGUUGUUUUUCAUUAUAUUAGGACCCCAUUAGAGAAUCGUGUAAGACUUUAUUACUUUGCUUGUGUAUAAAUGUCAGUUAAUGUUUUCCAUUCGUUCUUUCAGUCUGCUAAUAUAAUGUUUGAAUGCACAGAAGUUCACUUAAAUUCAGAAGCGAAGAAAGUAAAGUUACAAAUGAGGCUAGGAGGUACUUCUUCCUCCUAAUGGCUACUUUAAAUUCAGUCACAUCAGUAAAUACAUCCAAUGUUGAUAUUCUAUAUAGGAAGCCAUUACUCUUAAUUAGCAGACAGAAAUGCAUAUAAUUAGAAAUGAUAAUGUGAUACUUAAAGCCAGCAGAAAAGAUUCUUAGGAAGCACAGCUGUUUGCUCUAGAAAGGGUCAGCUUACUGCAAACAAGUGAAUGCUGCAUCACCCUUUUCAGUGCUGCUUUUUUUCCAUUAUACCAGGUUAUAAAAAUAUGUAGGAAUAUGUAUGUAAGUCAAAACUGAUAUCCUUUACCUCGAAAGCAAAUUAUGAUGAGAAUUACAAAGUGCACAUUAUGUCAAAACUGCAGUGUUAAAAAUUACCAGAGCUUAGCAGUCAGAUUGUACUGUCAUGAUUUUGGUGGAAAGAACAUUCAGUUAACAUUCCACCCUGGAACAGUUUCAGAUAAGCAGGACUCUUCCUAAGAGAAAAUAAAUUAGUUUGUACCACUUGCACAAAAAAAAAAGUUUAACCAUUGAACUCUGUAAGUGAUGGCAGAAUCCAUGUCUACAUUUACAAUUACUGAGCUGUCAUGUAAAUUAUGCAAUUAUGUAAGAAACAACCCAGGGCAUUCAGGUUUUGUCAGAAAAAUGAGUACAGCAGCUGUGCCUAGGAUGGGAAUCUCUACUAGCACUAUCAUUUAGUGGUGUGCAGACAUCCCAGAACACGCCUACCAGUGAAUUUCCUGAUGCUUUCCAAUUCCUGAUCUGUCCACCAGUGGAGGGAACUACUGGACUGUUAGUGAAAUCCAGCCACAGCUAUUCACCUGGGAUCUUCUCAGCCACAUCCUGAAAACCUUAUCAGGACAAACACCGAGACCAUGGUUUUAAAACUCUUUUAAAUAGACAAAACUAAUUGUUGCUAUGGGAUACAAGGAAAAGAAAACUGGCUGAAUCAAUGCAGAAGCUUUUUUUCCCCCCACCGCUUCUUACAGCAUAGUAAGAACUCCACAACAUGAAUCAGUCCUCUUAAGGAAUAUUGUGAGCAUAGAUGUGAACGACCAAUCGAAGCAUCUGAACCAGCAGACUGAUCAGACACUCUGUCUUUCACACUUUGUCAUUUUUCUGCUCAUAACUUCUCUGAACAGUUGUGCAAAGCUACCCACGUCACUUACUUAAUCUGCUAACAUCCACUGUGACAGUAACAUGAAAAAAAAAAAAUCAUUUGCCAAGAAAUACAGAUGCCAUACAUAUGAAUUUUUAAAUGGCAGACUUAUUUGUUACACAAUGGAAAAACAAAAGAGUACGAGACUAAACUGAAGCUAUCAAGUAAAGCAAAAAAGACCAUUUCACUACAGUCUCCACCAGUGGCUUCAAAGCACCCACCAUGAUUUAAUUUAAAUAGUAUCAGUGAAGAAAAAUCAACUGAAAAAGAAAAUCCACACCACACUUUAUCACAAUUAAAAACAAAAGUUUUAGUGAAAACUGAUCUCAGCAAAUGUAUUUUUCCUGGCACAAAAUAAUAAUAAAAAAAAAACAGCUGAGAAAAAACUAGAAGAAAGCAAUAUAAAAAGAAAAGUUCAUUACUAAGGCAACUUAUUUCCCAAAUGUGAGGAAAGUAAGUGCCUUUCAUGUAGAGGCCCAGUUAGGCAAUAAACCUCCCACAUUUUGCAGCCAUUAGUGUCAUUUUACAAAGCCUCAAUAGUUACAUUUUCAAAAGCCUAAUUGAGUGGAAAUCACUGUUUUGUUCCCUCCCCCCCUUUUUUAUUUUAAUAAUCUCUCUUAAUUUUAGUUAUGACUUUACUUCAUUUAUUUGGCUUUUGCAUUAAUUUGCUUUAAAACUUCUAUGUAAUUUUGGCACUGGUCAAAGGAGUUCAAGACUAACCAUCAUGGAAUCUGAGGCUUCCACCUUCACAUAAAAUAUAAGGAAAUAAAAGCAGUGGUGGAGCGCGCUAAGCCACUGACACAUGUCCAUACGUGUCAGUGAGCAACCUUCAAAUAAUAACCUCUUGUAACAGUGGUAAAAUUUGAAUCUGCAACCUACAUUUGAAACAUACAAUCAAACAGUUAAAAAGAAAUUAGCAACUUUUCAUACUAAACAUCAAAGUUUUUCUAGAGACCCAAUGUGCAAAACAGCUGGCACUCCAAUCUUCUGAACACUCCUCUGAAAUUAGCAUCCAAUCAAGCACUCAGAAUAAAGCUUAUAUUUCAGCUUACCAUCUCUUUCCUCUGUCCAAGGCCUCCUGUGUGCCAGAACAAAGUUUUUAUGAUUAUUCUUCAACUUCUAUGCUCUAGAAGUGAUUCAGAACACAAAAUUUAAACUCACUCUUCACUACAUUAAUAUUAUGUAGCAUUAAAACUGUGUAGUUUGCACUUUUCCAGCCACUGUGUUUUUUUCCCCUGUUGCUGGAGAAAUUUAACAUCAAGUAACACUUUUGGGCCAAGGGGGGAAACUAAUAAAAAAAAAAUCACAUAUUUCUACAGGUUGCCAUUGUUUAGAUGAACAGGAUCACACUAUCAAAGUCCUGAACAAUGCGAUCCCUACCACAGUCUAUUGUUAAAGUUUUCUUAUUUGAUAAACUUUACUCCUUCACCAUAUCUAUUUUUUCCAGCUCCCAUGAUAUGUCAUUCUGUAUGUAUUUAAAUUUUCAGAUAUUUCUUAUUUUUCACAGGGGGAGAUUUUUUUGACAAUUUGACUUCUCAGAAAAGCAUGCCUUAGAAUUAAUGAGUUUUACAUACAACUACACUGGAACACAAGUUGCUGUAUGUGCAUAAAGGAAAAAUAGGUGGAAGAAACCACAUAUGCAGUGCAUCUUACUAGUGGAUAGCUAACUGUCUCCUCCAGGGGUUAUCAGUUGUAGUGUUUCAUAGAAGUAGUCAUGUUUGAGGUCUUUCCACUCCCUCUUCAGUAUUUUGAUUUAAGAACUGGAAGUUCCAUUACAUCAAACCCUAAAAGGAGAGGUAACUGAAAAAAAUACUUUCAAAUCCCUCCGUCUCAUUCAGGAAAAGCAAUACUUCCCACAGGAAGUAAGAUAUGUACACAUCAUUAGAUAUAAAAGAGCAACCACAAAUGGUCACAAUCAGUGUUUUGGAAUCCAUUUCUCAUGUUGCAUGAAAA
ensembl:lncRNA